rnacentral:misc_RNA from 1 species
GUUUGUUAUGUCCAGUGGACAAUGUUCUUUUGAUUUGUAGGAUGAACAGAAAUAUUCAGUUAAAUAGCUAGAAUAACAACUGUUCUCUUGGGUUAUUUAAUAGUUUUGAUUUGAAUUAUUUUAGGUCAGUCAAUGUCAUUUUGCCCAAAUUUUAGUGAUUCAAAUUGCACUUUUUCAGUUGAGUCUUCUAAAAACUUGCAAGACACAGUAAUUAAUUAUGAUUCCUGACUCAUAUGUUCCAAAUCU